rnacentral:lncRNA from 1 species
UGAGAAAUACUAAGCAAUAUAUACCUGAGAAGUUAUAAAGCAAAACCUGGGAACUAGCUUUUGUUUCUCAGCAUCACAAGCAGAAUAAAUUAUAAUGAAAGGGAUAUGAACUACCCUCUGUACACCUCCACUUUGAUGAAGAAAAACUAAAACAAUCGAUUCCUAGAAUAGUUGUAAAUUGCCAUCAAAGUUUCAUUUAUCAUGCCAUCCCUACAAAAUUAACAAUUUAUAGGGAUAAACAUGGUACAAAAAUAUAAACUUAAUAUUUGCAAAGUUUACUAACUGGGCUCUUUUUGUGCAACAAAGGGCGUAAUAUUCAGAAUGUACAAGCCAUUAGUAAUGCAAAUUUUGCAUAUGGCCUUCAAUAAGCCCUGCUACACCUAUACAGAGGAAAUUGCAAGAACUAAAAGUUCAAUAUCAUCCACUAUAUUGAAAGUAUUACAGCAGCAUCAGCACAACUCAGAAACCACAACUUCAACAGCAGUUAUUACUCAACCAGUAGUUGCAAAAAGAAGUGUACAGCAACAGCAGCAACAACAUUUCCAAGCCAAACUAGCAAAAAUUCUACACUAAUUAAAAUCCGUCAUGCCCGAGAUUUGACAACUUCUUGUUAGCUAAAAACAAGUAAAAUUAAUUUAAAACAACAUUAGAUGAUAUUAAAUCAAUGAAUAUUUUCUAGGGUCUGCUCAAUUUCAUAAUAAUCAAAUUAUUUAAAUCAAUUGCUAGUAAAUAGCAUAGAGCUCAACUAACAUAUCUCUAAUCAAUAAAUCAAACAAAUUGGGGAUUGAAAUGAGUAGUUCUUGGGAUUCUAAAAUCUAAGCAAACAGUUCAACAAGAUAUUGUAACAAAAAGAUAAAAUUAUGAAUAGUAAAUAAUUUCAUUAUUUAUUUUAAGAGAUACUAAAUCACUGAGACUGCCAUGGAUGAAAGGUUUGAAUGUAACACGAAGCAUUUACAAAGAAAGAAAAAUGGUAACAGAUGGUACUUGUUCAGAUUCUCGGAUAAAAGAUGAAGGAGGCAACCCAAUAGUCAAAUACCCCAAAUAGUAAUGGGUUGAGCAAAAAAUACCCACCAUAAAACAGAAAUUCAAUCAAAUGAGAAGUGCAGACUUGGAGAGAAGUCGACGGGCGAAGGCAGCGGCGGAGAGAAUGGAAGAAUAGGAUUCUAGGGCUCGAAGGGGAUCGAACUGAGGGGCUUCAAAAAUGCCACCGCGUCCCUUCAAAACUACGUCGUUUUGAUAAAAGAAUGUUAUUUAAGGCGAAAUGCUAUUUAAGAAGAAUGCUUUUGAUCCUG